UACGUAGGGGGCAAGCGUUGUCCGGAAUUAUUGGGCGUAAAGCGCGCGCAGGCGGUUUUUUAAGUCUAGUGUAUAAUCCACGGGCUCAACCCGUGUUCGCACUGGAAGCUGGGAGACUGGAGUGUAGGAGAGGAGAGUGGAAUUCCACGUGUAGCGGUGAAAUGCGUAGAGAUGUGGAGGAACACCUGUGGCGAAGGCGGCCGGCUGGGGGUGCCCUGACGCUGAGGCGCGAAAGCGUGGGGAGCGAACCGG
rnacentral:rRNA from 1 species